rnacentral:rRNA from 1 species
AAUCAACGCUGGCGGCGUGCCUCAGACAUGCAAGUCGAACGCGAAAGUCCCCUUCGGGGACCGAGUAGAGUGGCGCACGGGCGAGUAACACGUAGGUAAUCUACCUUUGGAUGGGGAAUAACAACCGGAAACGGUUGCUAAUACCGCAUAAUGCAGCGGCACCUAAUGGUGACAGUUGUUAAAGCGGGGGAGUACGAAAGACCUCGCGUCUGAAGAGGAGCCUGCGGCGGAUUAGC